CCUACGGGGGGCUGCAGUGGGGAAUAUUGGACAAUGGGGGGAACCCUGAUCCAGCCAUGCCGCGUGUGUGAAGAAGGCCCUCGGGUUGUAAAGCACUUUCAGUGAGGAAGAACGCCUGGUGGUUAAUACCCAUCAGUAAAGACAUCACUCACAGAAGAAGCACCGGCUAACUCCGUGCCAGCAGCCGCGGUAAUACGGAGGGUGCGAGCGUUAAUCGGAAUUACUGGGCGUAAAGCGCGCGUAGGUGGCUUGAUAAGCCGGUUGUGAAAGCCCCGGGCUCAACCUGGGAACGGCAUCCGGAACUGUCAAGCUAGAGUGCAGGAGAGGAAGGUAGAAUUCCCGGUGUAGCGGUGAAAUGCGUAGAGAUCGGGAGGAAUACCAGUGGCGAAGGCGGCCUUCUGGACUGACACUGACACUGAGGUGCGAAAGCGUGGGUAGCAAACAGGAUUAGAUACCCGAGUAGUC
rnacentral:rRNA from 1 species